GAUGAACGCUAGCGGCAGGCCUAACACUUGCAAGUCGAGGGGUAGAGGUUGCUUGCAACCUUGAGACCGGCGCACGGGUGCGUAACGCGUAUGCAAUCUGCCUUGUACUGAGGGAUAGCCCAGAGAAAUUUGGAUUAAUACCUCAUAGUAUCUUUUCCCGGCAUCGGGAGAUUAUUAAAGUUCCAACGGUACGAGAUGAGCAUGCGUCCCAUUAGCUAGUUGGUAUGGUAACGGCAUACCAAGGCAAUGAUGGGUAGGGGUCCUGAGAGGGAGAUCCCCCACACUGGUACUGAGACACGGACCAGACUCCUACGGGAGGCAGCAGUGAGGAAUAUUGGUCAAUGGGCGCAAGCCUGAACCAGCCAUGCCGCGUGCAGGAUGAAGCAUCUAUGGUGUGUAAACUGCUUUUAUACGGGAAGAAACACCGGUUCGUGAACCGGCUUGACGGUACCGUAAGAAUAAGGAUCGGCUAACUCCGUGCCAGCAGCCGCAGUAACAC
rnacentral:rRNA from 1 species